UUAACUUUAUUUCCAGUCCGUUGGAAAAUACAAUGCAUAAAAUCUGUUCUUAUCAGCGUAAUAUCUGGUACGGGUUCAAAUGGACCCCAGAAUAUUAAACUGAUUUUUCGAGUUAGCUCAGUUACUACUUGGAUGCAGAUGAGCUUUUUGCGCUUCUCUUUGUGUUUGUGUUUGUUUUGUUGCAAAAAGGGUU